rnacentral:SRP_RNA from 1 species
CCACUCUAAGUUUCUCAAUUUAGUUUUUUCUAUUUCUAAAGGGUAUAGCGUGAGGCUGGUUUCACAGAGCAGCAAUUACCUCUAGCUUUCAACAGUACAGGGA